rnacentral:rRNA from 1 species
GACGAACGCUGGCGGCGUGCUUAACACAUGCAAGUCGAACGGAAAGGCCCUGCUUGCAGGGUACUCGAGUGGCGAACGGGUGAGUAACACGUGGGUGAUCUGCCCUGCACUUCGGGAUAAGCUUGGGAAACUGGGUCUAAUACCGGAUAGGAGCCAUCUUUAGUGUGGUGGUUGGAAAGUUUUUUCGGUGUAGGAUGAGCUCGCGGCCUAUCAGCUUGUUGGUGGGGUAAUGGCCUACCAAGGCGGCGACGGGUAGCCGGCCUGAGAGGGUGUACGGCCAAUUGGGGAAGGGACAACGGCCCAGCCCCUGAGGGGGGGCGGGGGGGGGGAAUAUUGCACAAGGGGGGCAAGCGUGUGGCGGCGCGGCGGGGGGGGGGAGGAAGGCCUCGGGGUUUUAAACUCUUUUCGCUGGGGAGGAGGUUUUGUGGGGAGGGUACCUAAAAAAGAAGCCCCGGCUAACUACGUG